rnacentral:rRNA from 1 species
GGAAUAUUCCACAAUGGGCGAAAGCCUGAUGGAGCGACGCCGCGUGAGUGAAGAAGGGCUUCGGCUCGUAAAGCUCUUUUCUCGUUGACGAAUUAGCCUUCGAGGCAGUUGACGGUAGACGGGGAAUAAGCCACGGCUAACUACGUGCCAGCAGCCGCGGUAAUACGUAGGUGGCAAGCGUUAUCCGGAUUUAUUGGGCGUAAAGCGAGCGCAGGCGGUUUGAUAAGUCUGAUGUGAAAGCCUUUGGCUUAACCGAAGAAGUGCAUCGGAAACUGGGAAACUUGAGUGCAGAAGAGGACAGUGGAACUCCAUGUGUAGCGGUGAAAUGCGUAGAUAUAUGGAAGAACACCAGUGGCGAAGGCGGCUGUCUGGUCUGUAACUGACGCUGAGGCUCGAAAGCAUGGGUAGCGAACA